rnacentral:tRNA from 1 species
UCCCUUAUAGCUCAGUUGAUAAAGCAUCUGCCUGCAAUGCAGGAGACCAGGUUCAAUUCCUGGGUUGGGAA